rnacentral:rRNA from 1 species
UACGAAGGGGGCUAGCGUUGCUCGGAAUUACUGGGCGUAAAGGGAGCGUAGGCGGGUUAUCAAGUUGGGGGUGAAAGCCCAGGGCUCAACCUUGGAAUUGCGUUCAAAACUGAUAGCCUAGAGUAUGAUAGAGGUAAGUGGAACUCCGAGUGUAGAGGUGAAAUUCGUAGAUAUUCGGAAGAACACCAGUGGCGAAGGCGACUUACUGGAUCAUGACUGACGCUGAGGCUCGAAAGCGUGGGGAGCAAACAGG